CGGGUGGUAAUGCCGGAUGCUCCGGUUGGAUGCAUGUCCUUCCGGGAAAGGUUCCAUCGGUAUGGGAUGGGGUCGCGUCCUAUCAGCUUGAUGGCGGGGUAACGGCCCACCAUGGCUUCGACGGGUAGCCGGCCUGAGAGGGCGACCGGCCACAUUGGGACUGAGAUACGGCCCAGACUCCUACGGGAGGCAGCAGUGGGGAAUAUUGCACAAUGGGCGCAAGCCUGAUGCAGCGACGCCGCGUGCGGGAUGGAGGCCUUCGGGUUGUAAACCGCUUUUGAUCGGGAGCAAGCCCUUCGGGGUGAGUGUACCUUUCGAAUAAGCACCGGCUAACUACGUGCCAGCAGCCGCGGUAAUACGUAGGGUGCAAGCGUUAUCCGGAAUUAUUGGGCGUAAAGGGCUCGUAGGCGGUUCGUCGCGUCCGGUGUGAAAGCCCAUCGCUUAACGGUGGGUCUGCGCCGGGUACGGGCGGGCUGGAGUGCGGUAGGGGAGACUGGAAUUCCCGGUGUAACGGUGGAAUGUGUAGAUAUC
rnacentral:rRNA from 1 species